rnacentral:rRNA from 1 species
UGCAGUCGAACGGUGAAGCAGAGCUUGCUCUGUGGAUCAGUGGCGAACGGGUGAGUAACACGUGAGCAAUCUGCCCCUGACUCUGGGAUAAGCGCUGGAAACGGCGUCUAAUACCGGAUACGAGCUGCGACCGCAUGGUCAGUAGCUGGAAAGAAUUUCGGUCAGGGAUGAGCUCGCGGCCUAUCAGCUUGUUGGUGAGGUAAUGGCUCACCAAGGCGUCGACGGGUAGCCGGCCUGAGAGGGUGACCGGCCACACUGGGACUGAGACACGGCCCAGACUCCUACGGGAGGCAGCAGUGGGGAAUAUUGCACAAUGGGCGAAAGCCUGAUGCAGCAACGCCGCGUGAGGGAUGACGGCCUUCGGGUUGUAAACCUCUUUUAGCAGGGAAGAAGCGAAAGUGACGGUACCUGCAGAAAAAGCGCCGGCUAACUACGUGCCAGCAGCCGCGGUAAUACGUAGGGCGCAAGCGUUAUCCGGAAUUAUUGGGCGUAAAGAGCUCGUAGGCGGUCUGUCGCGUCUGCUGUGAAAACCCGAGGCUCAACCUCGGGCCUGCAGUGGGUACGGGCAGACUAGAGUGCGGUAGGGGAGAUUGGAAUUCCUGGUGUAGCGGUGGAAUGCGCAGAUAUCAGGAGGAACACCGAUGGCGAAGGCAGAUCUCUGGGCCGUAACUGACGCUGAGGAGCGAAAGGGUGGGGAGCAAACAGGCUUAGAUACCCUGGUAGUCCACCCCGUAAACGUUGGGAACUAGUUGUGGGGUCCAUUCCACGGAUUCCGUGACGCAGCUAACGCAUUAAGUUCCCCGCCUGGGGAGUACGGCCGCAAGGCUAAAACUCAAAGGAAUUGACGGGGACCCGCACAAGCGGCGGAGCAUGCGGAUUAAUUCGAUGCAACGCGAAGAACCUUACCAAGGCUUGACAUAUAGAGGAAACGUCUGGAAACAGUCGCCCCGCAAGGUCUCUAUACAGGUGGUGCAUGGUUGUCGUCAGCUCGUGUCGUGAGAUGUUGGGUUAAGUCCCGCAACGAGCGCAACCCUCGUUCUAUGUUGCCAGCACGUAAUGGUGGGAACUCAUGGGAUACUGCCGGGGUCAACUCGGAGGAAGGUGGGGAUGACGUCAAAUCAUCAUGCCCCUUAUGUCUUGGGCUUCACGCAUGCUACAAUGGCCGGUACAAAGGGCUGCAAUACCGUGAGGUGGAGCGAAUCCCAAAAAGCCGGUCCCAGUUCGGAUUGAGGUCUGCAACUCGACCUCAUGAAGUCGGAGUCGCUAGUAAUCGCAGAUCAGCAACGCUGCGGUGAAUACGUUCCCGGGUCUUGUACACACCGCCCGUCAAGUCAUGAAAGUCGGUAACACCUGAAGCCGGUGGCCCAACCCUUGUGGAGGGAGCCGUCGA